UACAGAGGGUGCAAGCGUUGUUCGGAAUCAUUGGGCGUAAAGCGCACGUAGGCGGCUUUGCAAGUCGGGUGUGAAAGCCCGGGGCUCAACCCCGGAAGUGCAUUCGAAACUGCAGAGCUUGAGUCUUGGAGAGGGCGGUGGAAUUCCGAGUGUAGAGGUGAAAUUCGUAGAUAUUCGGAGGAACACCAGUGGCGAAGGCGACCACCUGGACAAAGACUGACGCUGAGGUGCGAAAGCGUGGGGAGCAAACAGG
rnacentral:rRNA from 1 species